GCGACUUCUAGCGACUUUUAGGACAACCAAUAGCGAUUUUCCUUACUGAGGAGUUGGCAACACUGUCCAAGAGUAAUUUCUUUCGGGUACAUAAACUACGAAGUAGUCAACAAAAACCGAAAUGCAAUAUGCAAAACAUGCAAGAAGAGAAUCACAGACGGAGAUGGAACAACUUCCAACUUUGUCCGACAUUUGAAGUUGCAUAAAGAACGUUGUGAACUCAAGGAAAACAGUCUGUUCCAGUCCAGCUCUCUCUCUCCCCGCUCGACUCUGGCUUCACUAUAUAGAGAAAUAGAAAGAGACUCCAUCAUCAGUCAAUCACCACCACCUGUGCUCACCUGCUUCCCGUGGAACCAUGCUGAAGGUAUUUCUGCUUGGAUGCUUCCUAUGCCUCACUCCAGUUCAACCAGUAAGUAUUAUUAUAUAAGUGAUUAUAUAUGCUACUACUUGAAAAUGCAAAUACAAGUAAUACAAUACUUGGGAAUUUUCUACAGAUUGUCAAUGUGUAUGAAAAGUAUGGUGGCUCUCACCACGGCUGAUAUGAGAUCACCAACAACAACAAUAUUUCCCUGCAGCAACUUCUCUCUGUCCUCC
ensembl:lncRNA